CUCCCAGCCAGGGAUGUAUUCAUUCCGGAAACCAUUCACCCUUUAUAACCAAACGAAAGCAAACAGAGCAAAACAAGAGUUUCUAUUGUAACAGAUUCAGUCUGCUCCAUCAGAGGGCUGAAUCAGAAGGUUCUCUGUGAAGUCCGCUCCGGAGGAAGGGAAGUCUGCUACGGAGGAAGGGAAGUCUGCUCCGGAGGAAGGGAAGUCCGCUCCGGAGGAAGGGAAGUCCGCUCCGGAGGAAGGGAAAUCUGCUGCGGAGGAAGGGAAGUCCGCUCCGGAGGAAGGGAAGUCCGCUCCGGAGGAAGGGAAGAGUCAGAAGCCUGAUAUCUGCGAGCUGAGCGGAGGUUUCGGCGGCGGAAUCCCAGGCGAGAACAGAGGAGAGGAAAGAAACGAGAGCCUCACUGUGCUGCCGAGGUGACAGAGACAGAGCUGUGGAGGGAUUUAAGGGUGUCUCUGGCAGUGAGAUGGCGCCUAGCCUUGUGUCUGAUAUACGCUGCCUGGCAUAUCGAUCCCUGAGCACAGUGAUCUUUCAUUACUCCUCGCGCCAGAGCAGGCGUCUCAUCAAUCACAACGAAGUCUCACCGUGUACAGAGGAAAUUUGAAAAUGGCCGCUGGCCCGCCGUCUUUCUCAAACCCAAGUUUGAGUUUUGAUCGGUGGUGAGAAACUUACAUCCUGUCUGUAAGUUAAAUCUGUCUGUGUGACGAGUGUCAGAUGCACAACAGCUGCCCUGAACAUUAGAAAAUUGACACCUUGGCUUAUCAGCUGGGAUGUAUGUGGUAUGACGACACUACUUGACAAAGUAACAAAGUAUAAGUUCAAUUGAAAUUCACUGGCAUAUCACUGUAGCCAAGACACACCCACUGAUCCGAGUCUUCUGAUCCUGCUCAGAAAUCACAAAUAUCUUCCCCUCUUUGCUUCGCUCACUUUCCUUCUUAUUCUCCCGCUCUGUCUCCCUCUCUCUCUUCUGACAUAUUCUCCCUCAUUCACUCUCUCCUUCUCUCCCUCCCUGUAGCCCCUGUUCUCUUCCACUUUCUCCCUCUGCCCAAAUCUCCUCCCUCUUACUCCCCUUUCUCUCGCUCCUCUCUUCUACUCAGGGAAGUGGGAACUCAUGCAUUACAACAGAGCUGCUGUGGAACACAACCAUUUGUCCCCCAGAGGGAUAAAUUGUCAAGGAGCAGACACUGUUUGUGUUUCUCAUUGAAUUUUUCAUCUUGGACAAUGAAAUAUACAUCAAUGAGGGUUGCUGCAUACUAAGGACCUGGCCAAUGGCCAUCCAAUGGAAGUGCAUCAAUAAACCAUAACACAGCCUCAUCAAUCAUUUAUGUUUAGUGGAACAAUAAAGACAACAAACAAUAUAGCAGGUCAUAGUGUUGGGGAAGGACUGGGAGGACAAGGCAAAGAGGUAAACACUAGAAAUGAAAUAGUAUUAAAAAAAUGUUUUUAUCCACCUCCACUGCUUUUGUAAUUACAACAAAACACAUAGUGCAUAGAGCUGGGGCCAAAGCAAGGGGGUUCUAACUUGAUCAGUUAUGUCUCCCUCUCUCUCUGUCCCUCUCUCUCCUGGAGAAGAAAGAAGGCACAAUAUAUUGAAAUUCCCAGAAUACUUUGCGGUCAGGGUUGUUUGACUGACAGCCACAUCUCCCCACGGAAACCUCAGAUCUGUUUGGAGUGUUAUCGCUGGUGUUCCACUGUGUGUGUGUGUGUUUGAGAGA